CGCACCCUACGGGAGGCAGCAGUGAGGAAUAUUGGUCAAUGGGCGGAAGCCUGAACCAGCCACGUCGCGUGAGGGAUUAAGGCCCUAUGGGUCGUAAACCUCUUUUGUCAGGGAGCAAGGUCGUCCACGUGUGGGCGUAUGGAGAGUACCUGAAGAAAAAGCAUCGGCUAACUCCGUGCCAGCAGCCGCGGUAAUACGGAGGAUGCGAGCGUUAUCCGGAUUUAUUGGGUUUAAAGGGUGCGUAGGCGGGACCUUAAGUCAGCGGUAAAAUUGC
rnacentral:rRNA from 1 species